UACGGGGGGGGCAAGCGUUGUUCGGAAUUACUGGGCGUAAAGGGCUCGUAGGUGGCCAACUAAGUCAGACGUGAAAUCCCUCGGCUUAACCGGGGAACUGCGUCUGAUACUGGAUGGCUUGAGUUUGGGAGAGAGAUGCGGAAUUCCAGGUGUAGCGGUGAAAUGCGUAGAUAUCUGGAGGAACACCGGUGGCGAAGGCGGCAUCCUGGACCAACACUGACACUGAGGAGCGAAAGCCAGGGGAGCAAACGGG
rnacentral:rRNA from 1 species